rnacentral:rRNA from 1 species
GACGAACGCUGGCGGCGUGCUUAACACAUGCAAGUCGAACGGAAAGGCCUGCUUUCCCUUGUGGAUUGCGGGUACUCGAGUGGCGAACGGGUGAGUAACACGUGAGUGAUCUGCCCCCAACUUGGGUAUAAGCCUGGGAAACUGGGUCUAAUUCCCGAUAGGACUGCAGGGUGGUGCCUGUGGUGGAAAACGAUUUUCUAGUGGUUGGGGAUGAGCUCGCGGCCUAUCAGCUUGUUGGUGGGGUAAUGGCCUACCAAGGCGGCGACGGGUAGCCGGCCUGGGAGGGUGGACGGCCACAUUGGGACUGAGAUACGGCCCGGACUCCUACGGGAGGCAGCAGUGGGGAAUAUUGCACAAUGGGCGGAAGCCUGAUGCAGCGACGCCGCGUGGGGGAUGACGGCCUUCGGGUUGUAAACUCCUUUCGACCGCGAGGAAGCCACCUGGUUGGAAGGGUGGUGACGGUAGUGGUAGAAGAAGCACCGGCUAACUACGUG